UACGUAGGGUGCAAGCGUUGUCCGGAAUUAUUGGGCGUAAAGAGCUUGUAGGCGGUUUGUCGCGUCUGCUGUGAAAUUUCGGGGCUCAACCCCGAACUUGCAGUGGGUACGGGCAGACUAGAGUGUGGUAGGGGGAGACUGGAAUUCCUGGUGUAGCGGUGGAAUGCGCAGAUAUCAGGAGGAACACCGAUGGCGAAGGCGGGUCUCUGGGCAGUAACUGACGCUGAGGAGCGAAAGCGUGGGGAGCGAACAGG
rnacentral:rRNA from 1 species